AUUGAACGCUGGCGGCAGGCCUAACACAUGCAAGUCGAGCGAGCGGCGGACGGGUGAGUAAUGUAUGGGGACUGCCCGAUAGAGGGGGAUAACUACUGGAAACGGUAGCUAAUACCGCAUACCCUCAGAUAACCCAUAUGGGAUUAGCUAGUAGGUGUGGUAAUGGCUCACCUAGGCGACGCUCCCUAGCUGGUCUGAGAGGAUGACCAGCCACACGUGAACGGAGACACGGCCCAGACUCCUACGGAGGCAGCAGUGGGGAAUAUUGCACAAUGGGCGCAAGCCUGAUGCAGCCAUGCCGCGUGUAUGAAGAAGGCCCUAGGGUUGGAAAGUACUUGCAGGCGGGAGGCGUUACCGACAGAAGAAGCACCGGCUAACUCCGUGCCAGCAGCCGCGGUAAUAC
rnacentral:rRNA from 1 species